rnacentral:rRNA from 1 species
CUAUGCGCCUUGCCAGCCCGCUCAGGUGUGCCAGCCGCCGCGGUAAUACGGAGGAUGCGAGCGUUAUCCGGAUUUAUGGGUUUAAAGGUGCGUAGGCGGUCCGUUAAGUCAGCGGUAAAAUUGCGGGGCUCAACCCCGUCGAGCCGUUGAAACUGUCAGACUUGAGUUGGCGAGAAGUACGCGGAAUGCGCGGUGUAGCGGUGAAAUGCAUAGAUAUCGCGCAGAACUCCGAUUGCGAAGGCAGCGUACCGGCGCCACACUGACGCUGAGGCACGAAAGCGUGGGGAUCGAACAGG